rfam:Coxiella endosymbiont of Amblyomma americanum, complete genome.
GGAGAGAUGGCCGAGUUGGUUGAAGGCGCUCCUCUGCUAAGGGAGAAUAGAGUGAAACCUCUAUCGGGGGUUCGAAUCCCUCUCUCUCCG